UCUAGGUAUUGCUGGGACGGGCUAUUGCAAAUGUGAUUCGAGUCCCCAGUCAGUUAACUUCAGACAUGAAGAUGACCCAGGUGGCCUAACCUGAGUGCAUGUGCCCUUUAAAAGCAGAGCGCGUUUCCCGGCUGGGAGCAGAAGAGGAAGCAGGAAGGUGUGAAGCAUGAAGAGGUUGGGGUAUGCCGUGCUGGCGUGAAGAUGGAGGGUCCACGUUGAGACGAAAACAAGUGGCCUCUCGAAGCUGAGAGCACCCCACAGCAGACAGCCAGCAAGGAAUUGGGGGCAGCGUUCUGCUGGUAACAGGAAUGGGUGUGGAAGAGGAUCCUGAGCUCCGGAAAAGAACACAGCGGCCCAGAGACCCCUCGAUUUCAGUCUCAGCACGGUCUCCAGCCACACCAGGCUGAAGCUCUGACCUGGGGAGCUGGGAGCUGAUAGGGGUGGUGCGGUCAAGACAAGAUCAUCCAGGCAUGGGGUCAGCGUUGAGGGUCAGGGACCAGGAAAAAUAUUAAAAGUCACACGGAAGACUAAUGCGGCACUAACGUGGAAAUAAAGUCGAACAGGAAACUUCAGGCCCAACCCUGUCCCCUCAAUCUCUAUCCGGGAGGUCACCGAACAGCUCAAUGGCUGCCCGGUGGCUUCCUGUGGAGCCCUCGGUGGCCAGUUACAACAGGGUAAGGGUUUCAACGUCAGCAGUAAUGAUGUUUUGGACUGAAUGACUCUCUGUUGCGGGGCCGUCCUGUGCUCUGCGGGUGCUUAGCAACCCCCCUAGCCUCUGCCCACCAGAUGCCAGGAGCAACCCCCCACGCCAGACGGGGUAACCAGAAGCAUCUCCAGACAUUGCUAAAU